rnacentral:lncRNA from 1 species
UAGAACCAAGCUGCCUUCAAGCGGGAAAUGAGCUAAGAGAGCCCUGCGCCUCACCCAGAUCUGGGGAAGGCCAAGCUACAGUUACCCCAUGCGGGCUCUGCCAUGAUUCCUGGGUGGGCUGCCUAGACCAGCAUCUGAGCUGACGACUGGGGUCUACUGCAGACAAUAGGGAGGGUAUAAUGGGGUCCCCGGGAACCCCAGUGUAGAAAGAACAGGAUCAUGCCUGGCUGCAGUGGUGCUGUGCUCAGGGGCCAUCUUUCCCGGCAGGACGCCAGCCUGCUGAUGGGGGGCUUCCGAUGGCUUCGCCGCCAGAGGUUCGAGGGCCUGGUGAGAGGUUACCUGGCCCAUGGCUGCAUGAAGGAGGCAGAAGAAACCUUGGAGCAACUUCAGGGCAGUUGUGGCUGCGUGAAGGCGCACAGUGUGCUGGGGCGACUCCGAGCGCUGAGGCAGCAGAGGCUCCAGUGCUGGCGGGGCGAGUGGCACCGCAGCUGGGCAAGGCGGCUGCAGCUGGCAGAGCUGCUCAGCGAGACGCUGGGGCACGUGGAGGAGCGUUCGGGGCUGUUCCUGAUCCAGCCUGUGCUGCCGUGGCCUGGCCGGCCGACUGCACUAACCCCUCCUGGAAGGAGCGACGCCCGGCCCCAACCCACUCCCAAGAUGCUGGUGCCAGCACUGAUGGGACAGGAAGUGAGCAGCUCCCUGGCCACACGGGGUCUCCGGCUGCGCACCCCAAGGGAGGCAGGGCCCCACAAGCUGUGGAGCUUCCCACCAUUGGGGGGCAGCAGGGCCUGGCCAGACCAGGACCUGGUGCUGCCAAGCCCACUGGUGAUCACCCCGCGGCUACUGGAGAUGGACCUCAAUGGCUACCUGCUGCAGGAGCGCCAGGUGAGCAGGAGGAGCCAGCCCGGCCCAGGCCCAGCCAAUCCCGGAGCCAGGCCCUUCACAGCCUCGCUGAGGAGUUUCCUUCCUGUCCGACGUGGCAUGGCCCUGAUAGGCCCCAGCCACUCGGAGAGGCCGAGUGCCCAGCUGUGACUCCAGAUCGGCUCGCGAUCCUGUGGGCAUAUUCCGGACUUCAGGACACAGCUUGAUAAACCAUCUAUUUGAAAUCAGCUGGCUGGGAAAGGAUCACAGUCCAGAAUGGCCAGACAGCCUUCCGCCCCUCA